UCCCCCCACAGACUGAUUAGCUACAGAUUUGAAUAUUACCGAUUACCAAUAUUAGAAUAGACGUUUUCUGCAGUAUUCUGCUUCUCCGCCCUCCUCGCAAUUCAAAGCGAUCAGGACGCUGAGCUAAUCUGAAGGUGCACCUGAUGUGGGCCAUGAUUUGGGAAGGUUGAGCUACUGUAGACUUUGGAGCAGUAUAACACAAGUGGAAGCUGGACCCAACACAGGAGAACACUAUUUGGUAUGAAUGAUGGGCUGUUGAGAAGGAAAGGAGGAAAAACUGUAACUUGUGGGUCCAAGAUCCUUCUUGCAAGGUUAGAGGGCUGCAGAGGAAAUAAGGCAAAGGAAUUCUUAAUGACUCUGACAUAUAGGAGACUUUUUCUAAGUGUUUUAGACUGAGAGAGUAAGAAAAAGCAGAGCAUGUGUGUCUUUAAGCUUUUCUUCUCCCUCUCGUUUACCCAAGCAGAUGCACUCUCUCCGACCAUGCCUUCAAUCAAUUAUUUAGGCAGAAAACAAAGGUCUGCACCCAUCCAUGAAUAAUAGAAGGUGAGAAGGCAGAGAGAAGGAUGGAGGAUAGAAACAGAAGCUCAGAGUGACAAGAGGUGAGUCUCGCACAAAUUCCCUCCUAUGACAGACAGCUCAGAGUCUGCGUAGGUCAAGCCAGUGGAAGAAAGCCAACAGGUGCAGAGGGAAGCUGAGCAGAAAAAUAUGUCCCGUGCAUCUACACCUGUACACACAGACACACACACGACACGUCGUCCUGGAAAUCCCAGGGAAACCAGCAUCAACGUACGGCUCGUACUGUACUGUGGGCGAAUCGGAGCAUUAAAACCAUCCGAGGACAAUGCGGGGAGUUGUUUUUGCAUGGUGUCAGAUGACAUGCCAGUCCGAAACAGGAAGCAGGGCAAGUGGGAGUAAAGGGAAUUGUGAUGUGUACUCUGUGUGUGUCUUAUUUUCCAGUUGGCCUUGUUCUUCCGAGAAUGUUUGAUGUUAGGUCCAAGACGGGGCGGGAGGAGAAAGCAAAGAGGGAGAAACUGGGUUCGAAAAAAGAUGUGGGGUAAAAAAAAAGGGGGAAAUAAAUUAGGAAGGAUGGAGGCAAAUAAGAAAAAUAGGAGAGAGAGAUGUAGUAACGUGGAGAUGGAAAUGGGUCAGUUAACAGUGGGUCUGACCAUGUGUGUGUGUGUGUGUGCGUGCGUGCGUGCGUGCGUGCGUGCGUGCGUGCGUGCGUGCGCGCGCGUGCGUGCGUGUGUGUGUGCGUGUGUGUGCGUGUGCUGCCUGCAUACAGACCUUCGUAGUCUUGACUUUGUUGCCUGUGCUGCAGCUCCAUCCUGUGAGGUCUGGGAGAACCUUGCACUCCUCACCUUCCAUACACGGCUGCAUUUGACACCACCACUUCUGGGCUACGAUAGAAGCUGGAGGACGAGGAACAGACAGGAGGCAGAUAUUUGUUAUUCAAAUGGGAAGGACACUGCUCAAAAGGGGCUGUUGCUACUCAAACAAGAUAAUACGGCCAAACGGAGACAUGUGAUAAUUUUCUAGUCAAUACGAUGCUCCCACCACCACUUGUUGGCUUUUCCAUUCCUUUGCCAACAUAGUGUGGUCUCAUCAGACCAAAGUACUGACCCAAACAGCCAUCCUCAGUUUGACCGAGUCAGGUGUUCAUGGGCAAAUGUUCAACUACACUCUCACUUUUUACUCCAACAGCCAAGGUUCAAUGCAAAUGAAGUGCAAAUUUCAAAUAAGGUUGAAUAAACUUGGCAAAAGAAAAUUUAAAUGAAUGUGUGCUUCUAACAACUGUUAUGCAAAUACUGAGAGCUGAAUAAAUUAAGAUAAACAGUUGGUAGCACUAAAUCUCCAAGUGGGCGCCAUAAAACUUAGCAGAUGAAGAGGAUGCAAUGAGAAGAUGCAAUUAAAAAAAGAGCAGUCAAACGUCAGAUGAACAGAAACAGUCAGUCAAACUGCAAAUUGUUUAAACAAUGUGGUCAGUGUGAUAAUAUGGUUUGUUUCAAGUGUUCAUUUGAGGACAUUUACUGACAGUUUAUAGAGAUAUUGAUGUUUUCGUCUCUUCUGGUAGCUUGAGUGGGUGUUUAGCCACAUGGUAACAGUCCUUUGUGAGGGAAAUGUUUUAAUACAUUACAAUUAGGUUGUUCAGGGUAAUCUUUCAAAAAUAGAUUCAUAUUAAAUUUCAAAGUCAAAUUGCAUUUUUAUUGCACAACUCCGUCAUUCUUUAACCACAUUUAAGAUACAAAAGCAGAUGUAGUGGUUGGUUUCCUCUUUAUGGUCUGGUUUAGUUACUUUCUUCACGUCACUGGACUUAACUUGACCCAUUUAUAUAAUACAUUGUAAAGACAUGAAUAUUGAGAUUAUUCUAAUUUGGACAUGUUCUGUUGCCCUUCAUGGAGAUACUGUAGGAAAUGGUUCGAAUGGGUGUCACGGGUCAUGGAUGUAAUCAGUGCAUUUGUGCUUUACCUACAUGGUUAUUAAAAAGUAAAACAAAGGACAAAACUGGAGGCAAGACAUGGAUGAAACCGCUGGUAAAUAUUUGGGUCUUUUUGAGAUUUGGAGCUGAUCUGUUUGAAGCGCAUCAGAUCAGUUACAGAUGACGUGAUUAAGUGCCACAUCUGAACAAACACUGAGUCAAAAGAAAAAAACAAAUCCAAGUGAACAAUAGAACAGCAAAAAUAUGUAUGUAAAAUAAUAUAAACACUGAUCCCCAGCAGAAAUAGACUUUUCUGCAUCUUAGUUAAGAUGUGACUAAUGUAAAUGGGAUGUUCUAGUUUGGCUGAUAUUUACUUUACUUAAGCCAUAUCUGCUCUUUACACCGGAGUAAAACUGAAAGCAGGGAUAUGAUAAAAAGGAAACGUACCAUCAACGCAGGACGGCAUCGCCCGAGUGGUGCCGGCCACUUGUCCAGGGAAACAGGAACAUUUGACCGUCUGAGAUCGCUCCUCGAUCUUGUUCUUGUUACAGCAGCGAUGGGCAGCAAUCACCUCGCAGGUCCCAGCUUUUACAUGCACUGUAAAGGACACACACGCAAACCAUGCGCUCAGCAGUGCUACUGGUUUACAUAUGAGUAGCUAUCAAACAUCGCUCUGAUAUCAAAUCUAAAUAAAGCAGAAGAAAAAAGGAGAGAACCUUUUAUUCAGAUUAGUUUGGUUUAGUUUGCAUCACUUGUUCUCCUGCUCAUGGCUAAAUUCGUCUUUAUUAGUAGAAUUAAGAACGAGACUGUCACAUUGUUCCCAUUUAGCCGACACGUCCAUACAGUCUGGCUCAUGUAGACUUAAAUAACAACACAUAAAUGAACCGUGACAGGACAGAUACAUCAGUUGCUGCCUGAAGGCUAGUACAAAAAACAGCAACGUUAUCAUGUCAACCUGGAUAAUGAAGCAAAAAGGGCUCGACUCGGUCUGUUCAUGCUGCUAUUAGCACAUAGCCACGAGCAAUGAAAAGGUACAGUUUACAAUUAGAACAAUUACACUUAUCUGUGCAAAAAUACAAGCAAACAAAAUAGUAAGUAUGAAGAAACCAUCAAAUGAUCACAUAAUGAGAAAAAUAGAAAUAGAGAUUUUUUUCUAAGACACAUUCAGUCUUUUCCUGCUGAGCCACAGUUACUGCAGCUGAGUCCAGAAGUCGCUGUGUGCUGUAUGAAUGCUUGAUUUUCUGUAUUGCUACCUUUACCUUCUUCCACUUUAAAACACACGCCAGUCAAACCUCAGUGGUAAUUAACAGCAAGUCUGCUUCAUGCACACACGUCCCUUGAGUCAGCUAAUAGAGAGGGGAACAAAGAAAUCACUCCCGAUAUGAAGAUCUGUGAUGUCAACACAUGGCCCUUUAUACCAGGCUUUCAUCAGAAACAUGAAAAUGUCAAGGGCAAACAAUACGUCCUGACAGGAGCAGUGAGCGCCAGACGCACGUCGUAGCGCUGGAUGUUGUACCUACAGUUUACACUGUGCAAUGUUUUCAUGUGGGCAUGAUUUUAAAAGUUCUAGUCUGGUUUCAGAUUUUCACACUGUUGUUAGAAGUUCCUGUUAUUUCCAUUACAAUAGAGUCCUGCCACAAUACAACAAAGGCCGCACUCUGCAUGGCAAUGAAACCAAAGCAGCACACAAUGAAUGUGCUCCGUCUGAAGAGUAUUUAAAUAUGAGGCAAGCGACACCAAAAGAGCCAGAAUGAAUAUGUUAAACAAACUAACAGAGAUUUGAAAAGUUCUUAAUUUGCUCCGUUAAUUAGAAAAGGACAAAGCAGCAAUCCAGCAAAGCCCAGUCCAAUUAAUAUCUCAGUGAAAAGCACAUUGUUGUGUCUCACCCACUGUUUCGCUCUCAUCUCUCUUUCAUGUCCUGAUUUCAUGUUUCGCUUCUCAAGCGGCGACGGACCAAAGGACUGACCGGCUGUGCAUCAGUCCAACUCAUCAUAUGUAUAGAGUUAACGUAUAUUAUUGUGUCACAAAUGUCCAGUGACUGUGGCGAUCACCAGAAGCACAGUCUUGUUAUAUGGGAGCAGCCUGGUGGAUAAACAUGGUCCCCAGAGGAUAGACCUCACUCACUACAGCUGCUAUACAUUGACUUUUAUCCCGACUGGGUUUGUGUCCAUUUAAAUUCUCAUAAGGCUUCUUCCUGAGGUUGUACACACAUUACAGUAGGAAAUGCUCAGUUUACAAUGACACAGUUAGUUUUUUCAUCCUCUCAUGGUCCCAGCAGGAUAAACUGUGGCCUCUUCUCCCCUUUCUCUACAGCCACUGACAUUUCACAGAACUACACAGAUACACAGCUCUGUAAAUCCAACCUGCCGCCCCCUGACCCAUUUUAAGGCUCGGCUCACGCGGCGGAUUGAUUAUUUUUGUCUGGCUUGAUAAGUUUAUUUCUGUAUCUGCCAGAACAUAAUUCUAUUUUAAUAAAUGCAUAUUGUGACAGAUCUGUGUUGAACAUAAAAUAUUAAGGUGAUGGGCUCCCAGCGGCUGCACAUACAGUACUGCGACACACAGCGAAAGGUUUGGAGUGGAAGGAGCAUCAGGAGGGCUUUGAUUUCAGAUAUAGAAAAAUGUAGAGUGGAAUAAGACCCAGAGCACUGACCACGGAGCAUGUUUGACUUGGCUCCUUCCAAUGACGACCAUUGUUCUCACUUACAGAGGAAGUGGUAAAAGAAGCAGGAUGUGUUUUUCCCAGCACUGAGCCUCAGUCAGGAUGUGAUACCCUGUACGUCGAAGCUGCUGCUGAUGUCGGCAGCAUCGCUGAAAACCGACACCCAAAUACGCACCUGUUACUGCUGCUAUUGCUGGCGAACCUGUGGAGCACCAGAACCUGAGAUUACUGUUCUAUGAAGUAUAUGGGUGUCUCUGGCUACAAGAUGCCUCAAACCGAGAUCUUUCUCUUUGAUGAGAAACAAAAAUACAAUAGAAUUUCAGCACAGACACUGCACAAAGCAGUGUACACAAAGAGAAAGGUGCUCAAUGUUCUGUAUGUUGAGCACAAAUGCUAAUUGUAAAAAUGCUACAUAGUGAGUCAGACACAAGGAGUAAAUUGUGUGCCACACACACACACACACACACACACACACACACACACACACACACACACACACACACACACACACACACACACACACACACACACACACAUAAA